rnacentral:rRNA from 1 species
GAGUUUGAUCGUGGCUCAGAUUGAACGCUGGCGGCAUGCCUUACACAUGCAAGUCGAACGGCAGCAUGAUCUAGCUUGCUAGAUUGAUGGCGAGUGGCGAACGGGUGAGUAAUACAUCGGAACGUGCCCUGUAGUGGGGGAUAACUAGUCGAAAGAUUAGCUAAUACCGCAUACGACCUGAGGGUGAAAGUGGGGGACCGCAAGGCCUCAUGCUAUAGGAGCGGCCGAUGUCUGAUUAGCUAGUUGGUGGGUAAAGGCCCACCAAGGCGACGAUCAGUAGCUGGUCUGAGAGGACGAUCAGCCACACUGGGACUGAGACACGGCCCAGACUCCUACGGGAGGCAGCAGUGGGGAAUUUUGGACAAUGGGGCAACCCUGAUCCAGCAAUGCCGCGUGUGUGAAGAAGGCC